ensembl:lncRNA
CUAGCUAUAAAUUAAACCUGAUCAAUCAAAUGGAUGGGUGUAAGCAAUUAUGGUAAUUACAACUGUCCUUAACUAGGUGUCUUUGCUAGACAGACACAGGGAGGAUGAAAGUGAGAGACAGACAGACAGACACAGAGCAAACAACAGCAGUGCAAAUGUACUUAGACUUGAGUAUUUCAACAACUCUUCUUCCAACAAAAAUCACAUCUACCUACGGGGAAAGGAUGGCCAGUCACACAAGAGGGUGAUUUUUACUAAGGAGGAGAAGGAGGCCAUGCUGACUGAGAUGCAUGCUGGCCAUUUCAGAGGGAAGCGCAUGAUUGCCAAAAUCAACCUAUGCUUCUUCUGACGAGGAAUUGUCAAGGAUGAGUACAGCUGGGAAAUUCAGUACCCUGUCUAGCCUGCCAGAAGUUUGAGAGGGUGAAGACUGUGGCGCCGGAGUUGAAGCUAAUCAAAGUUGUUUCACCAUGGCACAUGAUCUGAUGAGACUAACAAGGCCGCCUUCAAGAC